ACGCUGGCGGCGUGCCUAAUACAUGCCAGUCAAGCGAACAGACGAGGAGCUUGCUCCUCUGACGUUAGCGGCGGACGGGUGAGUAACACGUGGAUAACCUACCUAUAAGACUGGGAUAACUUCGGGAAACCGGAGCUAAUACCGGAUAAUAUAUUGAACCGCAUGGUUCAAUAGUGAAAGACGGUUUUGCUGUCACUUAUAGAUGGAUCCGCGCCGCAUUAGCUAGUUGGUAAGGUAACGGCUUACCAAGGCAACGAUGCGUAGCCGACCUGAGAGGGUGAUCGGCCACACUGGAACUGAGACACGGUCCAGACUCCUACGGGAGGCAGCAGUAGGGAAUCUUCCGCAAUGGGCGAAAGCCUGACGGAGCAACGCCGCGUGAGUGAUGAAGGUCUUCGGAUCGUAAAACUCUGUUAUUAGGGAAGAACAAAUGUGUAAGUAACUAUGCACGUCUUGACGGUACCUAAUCAGAAAGCCACGGCUAACUACGUG
rnacentral:rRNA from 1 species